UACGGAGGGUGCAAGCGUUACUCGGAAUCAUUGGGCGUAAAGGACGCGUAGGCGGAUUAUCAAGUCUCUUGUGAAAUCUAACGGCUUAACCGUUAAACUGCUUGGGAAACUGAUAAUCUAGAGUAAGGGAGAGGCAGAUGGAAUUCUUGGUGUAGGGGUAAAAUCCGUAGAUAUCAAGAAGAAUACCUAUUGCGAAGGCGAUCUGCUGGAACUUAACUGACGCUAAUGCGUGAAAGCGUGGGGAGCAAAC
rnacentral:rRNA from 1 species